rnacentral:tRNA from 1 species
GGACUUUCAUAUAGCUCAGUCAGUAGAGCAUGAGACUCUUAAUCUCAGAGUUAUGGGUUUGAGCCCCACAUUGGGCAAAAAAGUCCU